GACGAACGCUGGCGGCGUGCCUAAUACAUGCAAGUUGAGCGCUGAAGGUUGGUACUUGUACCAACUGGAUGAGCAGCGAACGGGUGAGUAACGCGUGGGGAAUCUGCCUUUGAGCGGGGGACAACAUUUGGAAACGAAUGCUAAUACCGCAUAAAAACUUUAAACACAAGUUUUAAGUUUGAAAGAUGCAAUUGCAUCACUCAAAGAUGAUCCCGCGUUGUAUUAGCUAGUUGGUGAGGUAAAGGCUCACCAAGGCGAUGAUACAUAGCCGACCUGAGAGGGUGAUCGGCCACAUUGGGACUGAGACACGGCCCAAACUCCUACGGGAGGCAGCAGUAGGGAAUCUUCGGCAAUGGACGAAAGUCUGACCGAGCAACGCCGCGUGAGUGAAGAAGGUUUUCGGAUCGUAAAACUCUGUAGGUAGAGAAGAACGUUGGUGAGAGUGGAAAGCUCAUCAAGUGACGGUAACUACCCAGAAAGGGACGGCUAACUACGUG
rnacentral:rRNA from 1 species